GUGUCCACAUCAGCCACCUGAGAACCGCGAAAACAAGUAAUUCCAGCUCCCCCUGCAUGAGGGGAGGACGGGCGCUGAGCUGGUCCGAGCGGCGUCGCUCGGGUUAACCCGCCGCCGAGGCCACACCGCCCUCGUGCGGCCGGCCGCCGAACAAGAAGCGGCGGGAAGCAAGGUCGGCAUCGGUUUGAGCUGCGGCCUGCUCGGAACCAGAAGCGUGGAAAAGCCGGGGAUCUUAUUCUGAGGGGAAAAUGUCGGGCGGCUACCGAUGGGGAGGCCCAUCCGGCGGCGAGAACCGUAUCUACGUUGGGAACCUUCCGACCGACGUGCGGAUCCGAGACAUCGAGGAUAUCUUCUAUAAAUACGGAAAAAUCCGGGAUAUCGACCUGAAGAACAAGCGCGGCUCCCCGCCUUUCGCCUUUGUGGAGUUCGAGGACCCCAGAGAUGCACAAGACGCAGUCUAUGGAAGAAAUGGGUAUGAUUAUGGAGUCUAUCGCUUACGCGUGGAGUUCCAGAGAGGCCGAGGAAUUGGCGGAAUCGGCGGUGGAUCUAGAGGAAGACCAGGACCACCAGCCCGCAGAUCAGAUUUCAGGGUCAUUGUCUCCGGGCUACCACCCUCUGGCAGUUGGCAGGAUUUGAAGGAUCACAUGCGAGAAGCUGGUGAUGUUUGCUAUGCAGAUGUUUUGGGAGAAGGUGCUGGAGUGGUGGAAUUCCUCCGUAAAGAAGAUGUGGAUUAUGCAGUAAGGAAGCUUGACGAUACAAAGUUCCGUUCUCAUCAGGUUAGUUGGUUUGUAUUAAUUCCGGGUGUGCUUUUAAAAAAUUUACAAGAUAUGGGUAUUAGUGAUGCUGUUCACUGCCAGUCCUGUUGCUGAGUCCUAUUUUGAUCAGAUUUGAUCCAUGAUGUUCAUUGGUUUACAUAAUGUGGGUUAUGUGAAUUCACAAAUGACUGCCUCAGAAUUUGGGAUACAGAAUAACAUUUGCUCUCAUGGAAUUUAGCUGAGGUCACUCUCAAAAUUGUUUAGAGCCCAAGUGUGCACGAUGGCUACAAUUUAAAAGUGGUGACUCUCUCGGUCUAAUUUGAUUAGUAUUUAUUUUGGAUGAGACACUGUAACAAUACCUGUAACACUAAACUGGCUCAAGAACAGAGGUAAGAAUAGACCAUUCUUGCUGCACUAUUCACUAAGGUCUUGACUUAUUUUAAAAUUUGAUCUCAUGUUGCUGCACUAUCUCCCACCUCUGGAUUCUCACUAUAUUAAUAUUCCACGACCCACUUGGUCAGAGUAUUCCUAAGAUUUGUCGCUGUCUGAGUGCCAACCCCCGAGUUUGAGUCUGUGACCCCAGGUUCUAUGUUUCAUUCAUUAUUAUUACAUCAUUCAUUCCUGUACCCUGUCAAGUCUUGUGAGAAUUUUCUAUGUUUCAAUAAGAUGGCUUCUUGUUCUUCUCUAAUCCCUAUAAAGUAUUCUUUUUAAUCUCUUAUAGAGCAAAGGACCCAUCCAGGAAUCAAUCUGGCGAAUGACACUCAUUCUGUCUUGUAUAUUUUUGUACCGACAGAGAACAGAUCCUAUACAUAAUAUUCCAAGUAUGGUCUCACUCGGGUCCAAAUAAUUGGAGUGGUAUAACAAGACACUCUCUUGCAUUAAAGGCUGACAUUCCAAAUUGUUUGUGGUACCUAAAAUGUUACUUUCAGUGAUUCAUAUACAGUGCCUUGGAAAAAAUUCAGCCCCCACUAUUUUCACAUUCUACUGUCUCAAUUUCUAAAUUUAAAAUGUAUUAAAGUAGAAUUUUUUGAGCUAGUCUACAAAACAAAUUUCAAAACCUGUCAACAAUUUAGUAAAAAUUGAAAGUCUAAAUUUGAGGCUGAAAAAGUACUCUUCCACUUUGUAAUCACCAACUCACCCCAAUUCCUUGAUGUAGAAAAUUGGAGGAUCAGGUGUUUUCAAUGAAUAUGUAUAUCAGAUGAGACCAAAGUGGAACUUAUUGGCCUCAACACUAAGCAGUAUGUGGGGUGUAAAUCUAACACUGCACAAAAGCCAGGUAACACCAUCCCCAUUGUUAAGUAUGGUGGAGGUAGUAUCAUGCUAUGGGGAUGCUUUUCAGCAGCAGGGAGGUCAAAUGCUGUUAAAUACUGAGAGAUCCUGGAUAAAAACGUGCUAGCCUCAUGUCAGAAUACUUAAACUUUGGAGGAAGUUUGUCUUUCAGCAGGCCAAUGACCCAAAGCACAUUUCCAGAGCAACCAUGGAGUUGCUAUUGAGUGGCUCAUUCAGAGUCUUCUCCUUAACCUGAUCGAACAUCUCUGACAAGACCUCAAGAUUGCUGUCCAUCGCCACUCCUCAACUAACUGGCACAGCUUGAGCCAUUUUGCAAGGAGGAAUGGGAAAAUUUUGUUCCAUUACAUUGUGCAAAGCCAAUGGACCGAUCAAAAAGACUACUGGUUAUAAUAGCUGCGAGAGGGAGAAACUGCUUAUAUUCGAGUUCGCGCUGACAAACCCAGAAGUUCUAGUUAUGGGAGAUCAAGAUCAAGGUCCCUUUCUAGAGGUCGUUAUUCUCCCUAUCAAAGCAGAAGCUCCCCCCAAUAUAGAUGAGG